UGACCACUGUCAUUGUGAAGCCGCGGAAGGUCGCUGCAGCAUAGUAUGUAGCUACCACCGUCUUGGCCGACCAGAUCUAAAUCACCUCCGUUCAGAUCUGAAUCAGGGCAACCACGCCGGGUUAAUCAUGGACGACCCCGAGGCUGCUGGCAGUCCGGCAACAUCCGACCGCCGUGCUGACGUCGCUGCUGUACGACGACCCCCCUUGAACGAACAACGAAGGCACCACCAUAGAAGAGUAGCCACCCCGUGCAAGUGCAACCAAGGGAGCCAGCCACCGCAUCGCAGGCCGCCGUCGUCCGCUGCAUGCGCUAGGCAGCCAGCCGCCGUCGUCCGCUCCAUGUGCAGCCCCGAGCGCCGUUGCCAGAUGCAGAUCCCCCGCCACCAUCCAGCGCAAGAACUCGCGCCACCAGGAUCUGGUGCCCCCAGAUCGAAGCAGCCACGAGGAAGCGCCCCGCCGCCGCCGUCGGCCGCGCGGGCUUCGCCUGGCGGCGUCCUCCGGCGGCGGCGUGGCUGUGGACGGGAGCGGUCUGAGCUGAGCGGGUUGGGCGGCUCGCCCCCGUGUCGCCCUCUAAUGAGCGGGAGGCCAGCAAGUAGUACGAGCAGACACGCGCGAGAAAACCCUAGACCAAGAUGCGAACACCCUUCCCUGGUGCCUCGAUGCCUGACCGCCCCCGCCGGAGACACCCCAUCGCCGUGUCAAUCUCAUCUUUCGGGAUUGGAAUUGACUGGGUCAAGCUUCAUGCCUUCAAAGUAAAAUCUCAACAUGAAAAAAUUCGUCUAGGAGUAUGGCAGGAUACUUUUCCAAGAGCCUCAAUUGCAGGAUGCCGUCAUGAGCACUCUCGACGGUUUUCUGGAAGACUAUCUUGGGAACAAGAAAACUAUCAGGGGUCAGGUCAGGCUUUGCAACCAGCAGAUAUGCACAGUACCGCGAUAAGCUGUUUGCAAUGGUGUAGGACUCCCGAAGCUUGUCA